rnacentral:rRNA from 1 species
UACGGAGGGUGCAAGCGUUAUCCGGAUUCACUGGGUUUAAAGGGUGCGUAGGUGGGCAGGUAAGUCAGUGGUGAAAUCUCCGGGCUUAACCCGGAACUGCCGUUGAUACUAUCUGUCUUGAAUAUAGUGGAGGUGAGCGGAAUAUGUCAUGUAGCGGUGAAAUGCUUAGAUAUGACAUAGAACAUCGAUUGCGAAGGCAGCUCGCUACGCUAUUAUUGACACUGAGGCACGAAAGCGGGGGGAUCAAACAGG